rnacentral:tRNA from 1 species
UCCGGGAUUGUGUAAUAGGUAGCACAAGGGAUUUUGGAUCCCUUUGUCUAGGUUCGAAUCCUAGUCCCGGAG